UUCACACUGAGCUGAUGUCAGCAUCUUCUGUCAACACAAGACGGACAUUUCAUCUCCUUUUCCUCAGCAGGAGCCUCACUGCUGCACUGAUCACAGUCUCUCAGCCUUACUUGAAUGAAGUAGAGCAUUUUCAGACAUUGCACCCUCAUGACCAAUGGAUGAAGGCAUUGUCAUCUUGGAAGAGACCACUCCUAUCAAGAAAGGAAAUCACUCAGAACAACUGCCAUGCCAGAAACCAAAACACCACCUUUCCUGCCCCCAAAUUGCCCAAGUCACGGGCUAAGUGGAAACUAAGGCCGGCAUGGCGUGCCAUCGACUACAUUUCCACAGCAGCUGGAGUGCUAUGUGGAGGGUCGGGUCUGGAAAGCCACUCGCUCCGGGCAGCCAAUGGGAAUUGAGGUUGAAAACAGCAAGAAGUGAGCUGGAAAAUGGGAUUAAAUAUGCACCGAGCUUCACCAACAUACCAAAGGGGCUGAGAGUCAGGAGCCAGGGUGGCUGCUGCGCAGCGUGGUGUUCGGAUGGAGGGGGGAGUGCUGUCACUCUGCCUGGACAUUCCUGCUUCUCGCCGGCGCUCUCACCAAGGUCGGCCACAUUACACAGACAAAUUACUCUCUGGAGGAACUUUUGUGUCCUCUGCAGAAGCGCCACUGUUCCUACUCGGACACCUGCAAUGAACUAUUUCACGGGCGCCGCUCCCCAAGGUCCUCAAUGUCACGCUUUGAUGCCUGCUCCCCCGUGAAUGUUCCGGUGACGGCAGCGUCCCUUGAGUCAGCAAGCACUAAAACAUCCAGCUGUGGAGAGGAGCGCCUGGUUGAAUGUCACUGCAGAAGCCGUGGGCAUCGCACACACCCCUGCUGCUGUCAAUCUUAGCUUCCUCAUGCAUCCAUUUGGAAUUUACGCAUCUCAGGUGACUAAAGACGACGCAGUGAUCUAUUUUGCCCCUUGUGAUGUCCUGUAAUAUAUAGAUAGCUUCAGUUGAAUUCUCACAUACUGUAUUGGGGGAUCACUGGUGAGACUUCUGCCUCCAUUAUAAUAUCAUUAGCUGAGUUUCAUUUGUGCUGCUUACAGAUCUGAAAAUGAUCUGCACAUAAACAGACUGGUUAGAAACUAUUCUGGUUACCUGAUUAAGUGUUUUAUGUGUGCAUGAUUUGGGUGAAUUACAACCUUAAGGCCUGCACACUGACUACCUUUUCUAUUUCAAGGAGGAACGCAACACGGCAGUAGUUCUUAUUCAACAAAAAUGCGCACCCAGGCUUGUAACACUUGACCAAAAUAUGCUUCGUGUAUUGACUUUAGAGCUUAUGCUAAAGCCCAGGUGAAUCCUGCAGAUCUAUUUCACACUCAAAUGUGAAAGAAACGAAACACUGACAAGUUGGCACCAAAAUCUGGACUAUAAAGGGCUGCAGAGCUUUAAUCUCAUGAAAAUUGUCCUUUUGAGGUCCAUAACAUCAAGAAUUAAGUCAGUUUCAGCCUUAAAAAUCCAACACUGUACACAUUUUAUUACGCAUUCAUGACUUAAUAAGUAACAAAGUUAAUCCUUAAAAAUGUGUAAAAAUAUUGUUUAUUAAUAGUUUUAACUAUGCUUUAACUAAUGUUAAUAUCGUAUUUUGUCAGCUUAAGGCUUGUUGAUGAACAACUUGUUGGUGAACUUCUGGAUCCACAGUAUUUAUCUAGUCACUAAUGUUAGCCUGUUUUUGCUAACAGCCUGCAGGGAACGACACUUCUGGUUGUAAAAACAAGUCAUAUCAUAUAAAAUUACCAUAAUUCUCACUCAAUUUAUUAGCUAAGUAAACAUUGUCCCAAUGAGUUUAUGGUUUCAAUUUCUAGUUUUAAGUCUCCUUCAAUAAAGCAUGAAGUUUAUUUAGUAAAUUAUGGUCCCAUUUGGAGUAAAAUAGAUGAUAAAACGAAGAUGCAUGUGUUUUGCUUUCAAGUUCUUGGAUACAUUCACCCCUUGUGUCCGGUACACAAAACCAAGAUGUCAAUGGCUAAAAUCCAGACUCAAGAUUUUAAAACUGUAUCAUUGUGGCUGCAUCCAUCUUUUAUAGUCUACGUACACUCACCAGCCACUUUAUUAGGUACACCUGUUUAAUUGCUUGUUAAUACAAAUAGCUAAUCAGCCAAUCACAUGGCUGCAACUCAAUACAUUUAGGCAUGUAGACGUGGUCAAGACAACCUGCUGAAGUUCAAAGCGAGCAUCAGAAUGAGGAAGAAAGGGGAUUUAAGUGGCUUUGAACGUGGCAUGGUUGGUGGUGCCAGACGGGCUGGUCUGAGUAUUUCACAAACUGCUGAUCUACUGGGAUUUUCACACACAACCAUCUCUAGGGUUUACAGAGAAUGAUCCCAAAAAGAGAAAAUAUCCAGUGAACAGCAGUUGUGUGGAUCAAAAUGUCUUGUA